AACGAACGCUGGCGGCAUGCCUAACACAUGCAAGUCGAACGAGACCUUCGGGUCUAGUGGCGCUCGGGUGCGUACCACGUGGGAACCUACACUUAGGUUCGGUAUAACUCCCUGAAAGGGGUGCUAAUACCGGUUAAUGUAUUCGGACCAAAGAUUUAUCGCCUUUGGAUGGGCGCGCGUUGGAUUCGCUGGUUGGUAGGGUACAAGCCUACCAAGGGGACGUUGCAUAGCUGGUCUGUUACGAGGAUCAGCCGCACUAGGAAUGCGACACGGCCCAGAAUGCUACGGGAGGGAGGAGUAUAGAGUAUUAGGGACGGAGGGAUAGCGUAGUACAGCAGUGCCGGGUGAGUGAUGAAGGGCGUAGUGUUGUAAAGCUGUUUGAGCCGGGAUGUGAAUGACGGUACCGGGAGAAUAAGCUCCGGCUAACUCCGUG
rnacentral:rRNA from 1 species